GCCUGGGUGGCUAAGUUGGUUAAGCAUCUGCCUUUGGCUCAGGUCAUGAUCCCAGGAUCUUGGGAUCGAGUCCCGCAUCAGGCU
rnacentral:tRNA from 1 species